rnacentral:rRNA from 1 species
CUGAGAGGUGGUGCAUGGCCGUCGUCAGUUCGUACUGUGAAGCAUCCUGUUAAGUCAGGCAACGAGCGAGACCCACGCCCACAGUUGCCAGCGUACUCUCUGGAGUGACGGGUACACGUGUGGGACCGCCGCUGCUAAAGCGGAGGAAGGAAUGGGCAACGGUAGGUCAGUAUGCCCCGAAUAUCCCGGGCUACACGCGAGCUACAAUGGUUGGUACAAUGGGUAUCUACCCCGAAAGGGGACGGGAAUCUCCUAAAACCAAUCUUAGUUCGGAUUGAGGGCUGCAACUCGCCCUCAUGAAGCUGGAAUCCGUAGUAAUCGCGUUUCAACAGAACGCGGUGAAUACGUCCCUGCUCCUU